CACAGAGGUGGGGCAGUUUCUAUAAAAGCUUGUGCCUCUCGCGCCCGCGUCCUUUUGGGGACUAGUUCGAGGUUGGAGAAUUUAGCCGCUCAGAUUGGGUUUGUCAUUGUACGGGGCGGUGGUGAGCUGGUUGCAGACGUUGAACCGCAGUCCAGAGGCCCAGCAGGCGAGAGAGCCUGGUGGUAAGAUGGGCAUCCUUCUGUGUAACUGAACUAGUUAACAAUAAAAUAAAGUUAGUGAGUCCUAUACUCUAAGCUCCAUUAUUUUUGUUGGGAGUCCCCUAAGAGUUCCCCAGGCUCUUAACAUGGCGGGGGGCAAUGUGUCAUUUUGAAAAUUCCCCAGUUGGUCCGCCCUUCUUCCAUGCUCAGCUCCUGCUCCACAUGGACCCCAUGCUGAGUGAAUGUACGUGUACCGUAUUGUUGACCUGACCUUUAUUAUGACUGGCCUCAGGGGCUUCCUGCUUUGAGACAACUGGCUUUCAUUUUCUAUAUAAGCCAGUACCAGCCUACAAUAAAUGCACUUUUUACCACAA